rnacentral:lncRNA from 1 species
AGCUUCAGAGAGGUUGGGAAGGCAUUCCCCCUAUGUGUCUGGAUGCCAGCAACUCAGAAAUAUUUGAACCAGCCAUGAAACAAAAGUUUAAAAGCCACUCAUCUGGUUUCCCCUUUGUUUUCAAAGAAGGAAGCUAGAAAAUUAAGUGAUGUAUCCCCAAACACACACAUUUAAUUGGAGAAAGAACCCCUAAUCAAUUCUUGAAUUCAAAUUUCAAAUUAGCUGAAUGGCAUGAAUCUUUCUUCCCCUGGAAUAGCCUUACAGAGACCUCACCAUUAACAGCAUCUGCAAGAGAAGAUUAAAGCACACGAUUACUUUACUCACUGUGUAACACGAGGAACAUGGAUGAGAUGGGAAAAAUGUGAGUGGCUUAACGUCAAGCACUUCAUUAAUGAGAUGAACUCCUGACUUUGGACAGUGGUCCACUUACAGACGCUGUCUUUGGAACUGCCUGCAGAGCCUCCUGAGAUCUUCUAAUAUGGCUGUUGAAUUGGGGCAUUUAAAAGCUUCUGAUGGUUGCAAUGUGCAUCAGUUUUGGGGGACAGGGAGGUCCCCUCUCUCUCAUUAAGAAGACACAAGCCAGGAAUUUAUGCUGAUCAGACAACAUAAAAAUCAGCUGUGAGAGGAUUGGGUCAGAAAACCAAUGAAGAGAGGUUGGCCAGAAGAUUAAAAAUCAGAAAAAGAGGCUUGAAAUUGCUGAGCUUUCUAAUGAUAAUAAGGUUGCCACCUAUUGUUAUGGCCACUCAUGUUGUCCCCCUGUAUAUGAGAGCUGUGAGAGUAACAAAGUGUUACGUGUCAAGGGUCACAUGAGACAAUCAAUGUGAAAGAUGGAAAGAGAGGGCUGGUGCCUAUCACCUAGGAAUGAUAGGUGAUAUGGCCGAGGUGAUAAACAGUGAGAGGGGGGCGAGUGUCUCUUCCUCGGUGGAAGUUGGAGUAAAUGUAGACACGGAUAGAGAACAAAGUCUACUUAUUCAAAACCGAGCAGCCAGGGGAGGAGCAGUCCUCCCACAGUGAACUAUUUAAUUGUGAAUAAAUCUCUGACUGGAGAGAUUCUGAGUUAGUGGGGUUAGCUGUUCCUAUAUUACAUGUGGUAAACUGGCAGAAACAGGUUUAAACCAUUGAGUGGUAGGUCUUUAGGCAGAGUAAAAUUAAUGUGCCCUUCCUUAAUGGCUUUGGCUGUUUGACCAUGUAAACGCAUUUUGAGUGCCACAUCUCUAGCGGAGGCUAAUCACUGUUAGGUAAAGAUGACCACAAGUUUCAGGCAUCUCGGGAUCACAGGUCUAGAGCGGGAGCCUGCAGCCUCUCUGCCAGUUUCCCAUGAAUUAUCUCACUCUUGUGGCUUUAAGACAAUAUUCACUGCAAAAGGAAGGUUAUUUACAUUAUAUAUUUAGCCUAACACUA